ensembl:lncRNA
CAUUUCUUUUCUUACACCAAAAAAUGUUCAAAAAUGUGGACAUAUAAAUAUUUUUUUCCACAUUUUCAAACUUUAAAACGGGUCAAUUUGACCCGCAGGACAACAUGAGGGUUAAAACAAGUCAUGAAAAGGACUUUAAUUUGUUUAAAACCUACUUUUCCAAUGUUGAUCCAUCAUCUGAAAUCAAGCGGUUACUGUGGAGCUCCUCCUCCUUUAAAGGAAACUUUGUUCUUAACAUUCAGCAGCACAGAAAUCUUGUAAUCCUUUAAAAACUUUACCAGUCUUUGGAGUACUUUAGAGAACAGAGGCGAUGAUACAGCUGAUUUAAUGUAAUAAAUGACGAUAAGCUUCUAGUUUUGUGAACAGAUUUGAACUUUUUACAAGUCCUGAGACAUUUUCUGUGGCGUUUGCAUCGUUUUUUUUGACCACAACAAGAUAUCUUUGUCGCUGUCUUCAUCUGUCUCACCUUGUGAUUUUAUCGUUGAUCAUUUUAACAGCAGACUGAAGUCAACGCUGGACUCAGUAGCUCCACUUUUAACCAAAAAAAUCAAAAGAAAACCUACACCUCCAUGGAGAAAAAACUAUACAAUCAAUCAAUUAAAGAGUGACUGCAGGAGUGCUGAGACGAGAUGGAGGAAAUCCAAAUUAACCGAUCUUUAUGAGAUUUUACGUCAACAACUCAAAACCUACAAUAACGCAGUCAAACAGGCAAGAACUUCUCAUUUCUCACAACGUAUCGCAGACCAUAAAAACAACCCCUGGUGCCUCUUCUCCACCAUCGAUAUUUUAACAGGCACUAAUUUUAAUAAAGCUUUUGAGAUGCCAUCAGCAGCUCUUUGUGAGAACUUUGCAGACCACUUCAGAACAGAAAAAAACGCCAUAGUAUACUAUGUCGAAAAAUGUCAACAUGUUGUAAAAAUGUGCCAUAUGAUGAAAUAAUGUAAAGGAGGCCGUGAAAAACACUCCAGGAAGGUUUUCUUUGAAAAAAAAAUCAUCAUGAAUUUUGGUGCAAAAAAACGCCUUACUAUACUAUGUCGAAAAAAAAUGCGAUUUUUCAACAUGUUGUCAAAACGUGCCAUAUGAUGAAAUAAUGUAAAGGAGGCUGUGAAAAACACUCCAGGAAGGUUUUCUUUGAAAAAAAAUCAUCAUGAAUUUUGGUGCAAAAAAACGCCAUAGUAUACUCAGUCUCUUCUGUUAACACAUCUGAUCUGUCAUCCUGGUCUGAGGAAACACUGGACAGUUUUGUCAUCUCUCUUAUCUGGUUUCCAAAACACCACCAAUCAAAAAUGAAUAUGCAGUCAUAGCGCCGGCACUACACUGGGCUCUACAGGGUUAAUACAUGAAAAAUAUUUCCGUUUACAUUCUCUAAAAUUAAGGACUACGACUAAUAUAUUAACAGUUAAGUCCACAUUUUUACCAGAACAUUUUCUGUUGCGAGAAUAUUUGAAUAUUUAUUACGUUAAACUCUGCAGCUUCAUCGCUCUGUUCUCUUAACCUCAGAGAUGAUUAAUAACUUCCUUUAUCUUGCAGUAAAUCAGAUUUAUGAGGUAAAAUCUCAAUUUUUUUCCAUUUAUCUACUCAGCGCACUUUCAUAUAUAGGAGUACGUUUUUGGUUUUGUUUAUAGAAACUAAUAUUUCAUCAUCUUGUGAACUUUUUGUCAAAGCAAAUAGAGUUCCUGUUCCUGGUCUUUGUCAGAAAACAAGGAGGCUGUUUGUUUUAUGUUUUGUUCUAAAUAUACAGACGCUGCUCUGGAGAAAAUACUGACCCAAACAAUCUGCCAUCACAUUUACUCAUCACUGUCGGUGCUGAAACAACGUUUAGCAGGUGAUUUAACUCAGUUUUAGAGAUUUACAAAAGGAAAAUCUGCUACUAGCUCUGAAUUUUAUGGUUUAGGGCAUCAGUUCAGUCAAAUGAUAACAUGGAACCAAAAACUCAAAUCUGGAAACUUGUCAACAAAAGGAUAAGAAAGCACAACAAAAAGCAGUUUAUCUACAUUUAAACCACUUUAACUGCAGGGAAAACCCAAAGUUAGCAAAAGAUAUGUCCGUAAUAAUCAAGUAAACUGCAACAAACUGUAGAAAUAUCAAUGAAUAUUCUCUGAGAUCCCGGAUAAUUUGCUUUUUGUGUCUAAAUCCAGCACCUGAUUGAAGCAACAUAUCUGACUGGAUCAUUUCAAUGUUCCGUAUCAAUCACAGAAUGAUUUUAAUUAAUCCUGAACCUCACAGUUGUUCCUGUUUUCUGCUUAUUAAAUAUCUGUGGAUUCACAUUUGAGGUUCAGUAAAAAGUCACAGAGCAGCAGAUCAACCAGCUUCAUCUCCUUCAUAUCAGAUUAAAACCACUGAUUCUCAUGUCAGAUUUUACAGUGAACAUAUCAAACAGCAGACAGAACUUCUUCCACAACCUUUUACCAGUUUUAUCGUUGUAAAAACAUUUUAUCAAAGCAUUCUGCCGCUUAAAUGUCAAAUUUAAAUCACCUCCAAUUUGACAAUUUUCCCACAACAUCUCUGCAAGACACCAGCUGUGUUUCCAUGAAAGCAAAUAUUUAAAUUGUUAGCAAAAAAAUCAAAGUGAAUGUGAAUUCAGCCCGUUUUCAGUGAAAGUUUUGGAGCAAAUAAACUUUCUAGAAGGUGGCGCUGUAGGAUACAUUAUUAAUGACUGUAAAAAACAGAAGAAGAAGCUGGAAUUCCAACCGCUGAAAAAGACUCAACAAAACAUUGGCCGUCUAUGAGAGAAAAACAGAAAUAUUUAGGAAUGAUUUGUGUGAACUAGUAUUGGACGUAUGUUUUUAUACCGUCUUCAGACAAUGAAAGAAACGCUGAUUAUUCAUGGAUUAGUCAUGUGAGUUAAAUGUUCAGUAAAUUAGAUGUUAAAUCAGAGUUUCCAUCAAAAAACAUGUAAAGCAAAUUCAGAUUUUGCCAAAUUUGGGCAAUUUUUCUGACUUCUGCUGCCUCCAUUGACUUCUAACACGAUCCUUAUAAAGAAAACAUGAAAAGAAACUGGUGAAAACUAUGAGAGAGUUCAGAUACCAAAUUAUUAUUCUUCAGCCGUUUCACACUGAACAUUUUGUGUCGUCUCAGACAACAACACAGACUUUGUGGAUCCAAUAAGCUUCUGUGUGUUUAUUUUCCUGAACAAACACAACCUGUUUAAUUUCUAGUCAUAAUCUGAUCUGAUGGUGUGUAAAUGUGGUCAUAGUGAGAAAACCUGCUGCUAAAUAUCUGGUCUCCAAAGCUCCAACUCAGCCGUCUGUCAAAAUAUGUGAUCUCAAAUCCUAGUUUUAACAGUUUUCUCUCAGAAAAAUGUGUUUGAAGGUUCCUUAACGGGACAGAUAUCAGCUCUAAGCAUCUAACGUAAAGAACUCUAAAAGUAUAAAACAUAAAUCAGGACACAGAGGUUUAUAAAUGAAUGUUUACGUAUUGAGGUUUGUAAAUGUGCAUCCAUGUCUUUUUUUUGGGGGGGACAAACUGGACAAAACUCAUUUAGUAUUUUCAUGAAACACAUUUGUUUUGGGUUGUUGACCCUUUAAAGACUGUAAACCAAACCAACUGGACAGAACUGUACUUUAGCAGCUUGUUAUUGUUGUUUCUUGUGUGUAUUAAUCAGUAAUGAACGACUGUCUGGUUGAAGGAGGACCUGAACCCUGAAGGUCUCAUGAGAUUCAACUGAGUGUGAGAUUUACAGCCGAAGAAACCAAAACUGGAAAAGUCAGAAAGCUGCACUUUGCUCCUUUAAAAAAAAACACAAAAAAAACGACCUUUAAGUGUGAAAAUGUCACCGAGCAGCAGGUCGAGGAGAAGCUGAUGUCAGCAGCUCAGAGAAGCUGCCUCCAUCUGUGGAUUUCUGUUAAAAACAAACUAAAACUCUGUACAAAUGAAUGAUUUUGCAGAAUCUGGGCCGUGUACAUUUUAAUCUGCCCUUUGUAUAAAUCACAUUUUCUAACAGUUAAUUCACAUGUGCGAUGUUGAAGGUUCUGUACAGCAAAACAUCUACAGACUGUUGAACUGUAAAUAAAAUCACCUACACUCACCGCUGGCUGCUGCGUCUAUUUGAAGCAUUUGUGUCACAUUAUUGGUGUGUUUUUGUCUUAGUUUGUUACUGUAAAGGUCCUGUAACUACUUUUUGUGCAGCUUUAAGUUCAUUCAGUGAUCAGAAGUUGGUACAGUUUGAGUUCAACUAGUUGUAACUUUUGUUUUUCCAACAAUAAUGUAAAAAAAA